rnacentral:rRNA from 1 species
UACGGAGGGGGCAAGCGUUGUCCGGAAUUAUUGGGCGUAAAGAGCUCGUAGGCGGUUUGUCGCGUCUGCUGUGAAAACCCGAGGCUCAACCUCGGGCCUGCAGUGGGUACGGGCAGACUAGAGUGCGGUAGGGGAGAUUGGAAUUCCUGGUGUAGCGGUGGAAUGCGCAGAUAUCAGGAGGAACACCAAUGGCGAAGGCAGAUCUCUGGGCCGUAACUGACGCUGAGGAGCGAAAGCAUGGGGAGCGAACAGG